rnacentral:rRNA from 1 species
AGAUUAGUUUGAUCCUGGCUCAGAUUGAACGCUGGCGGCAGGCCUAACACAUGCAAGUCGAGCGGAUGAAGGGAGCUUGCUCCUGGAUUCAGCGGCGGACGGGUGAGUAAUGCCUAGGAAUCUGCCUGGUAGUGGGGGAUAACGUCCGGAAACGGGCGCUAAUACCGCAUACGUCCUGAGGGAGAAAGUGGGGGAUCUUCGGACCUCACGCUAUCAGAUGAGCCUAGGUCGGAUUAGCUAGUUGGUGGGGUAAAGGCCUACCAAGGCGACGAUCCGUAACUGGUCUGAGAGGAUGAUCAGUCACACUGGAACUGAGACACGGUCCAGACUCCUACGGGAGGCAGCAGUGGGGAAUAUUGGACAAUGGGCGAAAGCCUGAUCCAGCCAUGCCGCGUGUGUGAAGAAGGUCUUCGGAUUGUAAAGCACUUUAAGUUGGGAGGAAGGGCAGUAAGUUAAUACCUUGCUGUUUUGACGUUACCAACAGAAUAAGCACCGGCUAACUUCGUGCCAGCAGCCGCGGUAAUACGAAGGGUGCAAGCGUUAAUCGGAAUUACUGGGCGUAAAGCGCGCGUAGGUGGUUCAGCAAGUUGGAUGUGAAAUCCCCGGGCUCAACCUGGGAACUGCAUCCAAAACUACUGAGCUAGAGUACGGUAGAGGGUGGUGGAAUUUCCUGUGUAGCGGUGAAAUGCGUAGAUAUAGGAAGGAACACCAGUGGCGAAGGCGACCACCUGGACUGAUACUGACACUGAGG